rnacentral:rRNA from 1 species
AUUGAACGCUGGCGGCAGGCCUAACACAUGCAAGUCGAACGAGUGGCGGACGGGUGAGUAAUACAUCGGAAUCUACUCUGUCGAGGGGGAUAACGUCUGGAAACUUUAGCUAAUACCGCAUACUAUUGAAUGUGCCGAUGUGGGAUUAGCUAGUUGGCGGGGUAAAGGCCAACCAAGGCGACGAUCCGUAGCUGGUCUGAGAGGAUGAUCAGCCACACUGGAACGGAGACACGGUCCAGACUCCUACGGGAGGCAGCAGUGGGGAAUAUUGGACAAUGGGCGCAAGCCUGAUCCAGCCAUACCGCGUGGGUGAAGAAGGCCUUCGGGUUGUAAAGUCCUUUUGUUGGGAAAGCGGUACCCAAAGAAUAAGCACCGGCUAACUUCGUGCCAGCAGCCGCGGUAAUUC